rfam:Schistosoma curassoni strain Dakar, Senegal genome assembly, scaffold: SCTD_scaffold0010989
AUCCAGCUGACGAGUCCCACAUAAGACGAAACUCGCUUUUUCCUGGAU